rnacentral:lncRNA from 1 species
ACAGGUUAGUGGCUGUCCGGAGCAAGGGCGGGAGUGCUGAUAGGAAGGAAGUGGGUGUGAUUAUGAAGAGGCGGCAGCGAGGGACCCUGGUGCUGACGGCACAGUGCUCUCUCUCAUCACGCUGCUGUGAUGUGCUGAUUCGGCUAUGAGCUGAUGCAGAGGAAUUAGCCCUGGUCUCACAGUCCAGUAGAAGAAAGGCAUUACAUCAUAUACUCACCAGGCAAGUUAUAAUUACUUAAUACAGUGAAUGCCAGGAAGAAAUGUUCAGUGGACUGAAAAGUUAGUGUGAGAACACAGGGGUGGAGGGAAGGCAAGAAACGUUCCCGUGGGGGGCAAGGGCAAAUGCGAAGCCUUCGGAAAGGAGAAGAGCACAGUUGGUAAACUUGAGCCAAAGAGGAAAACAACUGUGAGAGAAAGCUUUAGAGCCCGCGAAGGAACCUAUUACUCAGGGCCCCGCUGGUCACUUGCGAGACUGUGGUCUCUGUAUUAGGAGAGUUAAGAGGCUUUAAGAGAGUUGAAAAGAGGUCUGUCCUUGCGUGUUUCUGGCGGGGGGGCUGUCUGAAGAGAUCGUUCUCACCAUUGUGAGGCAAGUGGUUGGAUGGAGCUGGAACACACUGAGAGGGACCAGUGAGGAGAUCACUGAAGCAGAGGACGCUGAGACCUGGUCAGGAAGGAAGGGGAAGAGAGUCACGGGGCCAAAACAUGCCUCGGGGCCUACGUGUGGAUUUAUGCUCCGCUUCAGCCGAAUCGGAGGACACCGUACCAGAACUUCAUGCGUUGCUCUUCAGGUUUCUACACCUGAAUGUACACUGAGGACUAGACCUGGAUUCUAGAAAUCCGAUAAAGCCUCCACACAGGUGAGUCUCCCAAAGCAACAGAAAUAAAAGCAAAAAUAAACCAAUGGGAACUAAUCAAACUGACAAGCUUUUGCAUAGCAAAAGAAACCAAAAAGACAACUUAUAGAAUGGAAGAAAAUAAUUUCAAAUGGUGCAACUGACAAAGGCUUAAUCUCCAGAAUAUAUAAGCAACUUAUACAACUCAACAGCAAAAAAGCCAACAACUCAAUGGAAAAAUGGGCAAAAGACCUGAAUAGGGAGUUCCCGUCAUGGCGCAGUGGUUACGAAUCCGACUAGGAACCAUGAGGUUGCGGGUUCGGUCCCUGCCUUUGCUCAGUGGGUAAGGAUCUGGCGUUGCCGUGAGCUGUGGUGUAGGUCGCAGACGCGGCUCGGGUCCCGCGUUGCUGUGGCUCUGGAGUAGGCCGGCGCCUACAGCUCCGAUUCUACCCCUAGCCUGGGAACCUCCAUUAGCUGCAGGAGUGGCCCAAAGAAAUAGCAAAAAUACAGAAAAAGAAAAAAAAAA